rnacentral:rRNA from 1 species
GACGAACGCUGGCGGCGUGCUUAACACAUGCAAGUCGAACGGAGAGGCUCUGCUUUUGUGGGGUGCUCGAGUGGCGAACGCGUGAGUAACACGUGAGUAACCUGCCCUUGACUUUGGGGUAACUUAAGGAAACUGGGGCUAUUACACGAUAGGAGAUCCUGCUGCAUGGUGGGGGUGGGAAAAUUUCGGCGGUUGGAGAUGGACUCGCGGCUUAUCAGCUUGUUGGUGGGGUAGUGGCUUACCAAGGCUUUGACGAGUAGCCGGCCUGAGAGGGUGACCGGCCACAUUGGGACUGGGAUGCGACCCAGACUCCUACGGGAGGCAGCGGUGGGGAAUAUUGCACGAUGGGCGGAAGCCGGAUGCAGCAACGCCGGGUGCGGGAUGACGGCCUUCGGGUUGGAAACCGCUUUCGCCUGUGACGAAGCGUGAGUGACGGUAAUGGGUAAAGAAGCACCGGCUAACUACGUG